UACGUAGGGUGCAAGCGUUAUCCGGAAUGAUUGGGCGUAAAGCGUCCGCAGGUGGCAAUGUAAGUCUGCUGUCAAAGCGUCUGGCUCAACCAGAUAAAGGCAGUGGAAACUACAUAGCUAGAGUAAGGUAGGGGUAGAGGGAAUUCCUGGUGUAGCGGUGAAAUGCGUAGAGAUCAGGAAGAACACCGGUGGCGAAAGCGCUCUGCUGGACCUUAACUGACACUGAGGGACGGAAGCUAGGGGAGCGAAUGGG
rnacentral:rRNA from 1 species